GCUGCUGGAGACAAUGACUAAUUUAAGCAGAAUAGGAGAAAAAGAACUUUUUUUUCCUUUGUGCCAGUUCCUUUUACACGACUUCAGAACGUUCUAUGACAGCUCAGCGUGCAACUUGGCACUGUCAAAAGAGACCUGGGGAAGAAAGGAAAUGCAGUUCUAACUCUGUGGGUAUGUCUCAGUCAUUCAGCAUCUGCUCCAUCUUUGAGACUGAGUUUCCAGGAGACCUAAUUCAACCAGAAGCAAAAGACAGUUGCCAAGAAGAUAGCAAAGCAUAAGAAUUCGGGAAAUGGAUAAAAAAUCCCAGAGACAUCCAACAAUUAGUAACUAUGUGAACAGAUUCUAAAAUAUUGGGUCUAUUAGGCUUUGUGGGAAGGUAUUCCCUUUGGAAAUGACUGAAAUGGAGACUUUGAACCACUUUCAAUGAUAUAAGCUUGAGGUUAACAUAGAGAUGGUGCUUCACAGAAUACACCACUUUUCAGUAAUUGUAUUCUUAUUGAAUUGUUCAAAAUUGGUCAGUGACUAAUAUUAGGACUCUAAGAACAAAAUUCAUUAGGAUUAUUUAGCCUAUUUUUGCAUUGCUACUGCAAAAUCCAGUAGUUUACAUAGCUAGCUGAAUACUUGAUGUUAAAGGUCAAAAUUCCAUGAAGAUUUUAGAUCAAGACAGCUACCACUGAGAAAAAACAAUGCAGAUUUGUGGUAAAGUCUCAUAAAUUUGUUGAACUGACAAAGCUCUGGACCAUGACUGGUGAAGAACUUCUAAUGCUGACUUCCAUCUGAGCUUUCUCAUUGCCAACUAUCGAGAAUGUCUGGAUUAUCCAGAUGUUGCAACACAGUUGUGUUUGUUUUUGGCUUCACCACUCCCUCUGAGCUGUGAUUCUGUUUUUUCUUAUUGUUGAUGUUCUUUGUUUUUAAUAUGAG